rnacentral:rRNA from 1 species
AACGAACGCUGGCGGCAUGCCUAACACAUGCAAGUCGAACGAGACCUUCGGGUCUAGCGGCGCACGGGUGCGUAACGCGUGGGAACCUGCCCUUAGGUUCGGAAUAACUCCCCGAAGGGGGUGCUAAUACCGGAUAAUGUCUUCGGACCAAAGAUUUAUCGCCUUUGGAUGGGCCCGCGUUGGAUUAGCUAGUUGGUAGGGUAAAAGCCUACCAAGGCGACGAUCCAUAGCUGGUCUGAGAGGAUGAUCAGCCACACUGGGACUGAGACACGGCCCAGACUCCUACGGGAGGCAGCAGUGGGGAAUAUUGGACAAUGGGCGAAAGCCUGAUCCAGCAAUGCCGCGUGAGUGAUGAAGGCCUUAGGGUUGUAAAGCUCUUUUACCCGGGAUGAUAAUGACAGUACCGGGAGAAUAAGCUCCGGCUAACUCCGUG